rnacentral:rRNA from 1 species
UACGAAGGGGGCUAGCGUUGCUCGGAAUCACUGGGCGUAAAGCGCACGUAGGCGGCUUUUUAAGUCAGGGGUGAAAUCCCGGAGCUCAACUCCGGAACUGCCUUUGAUACUGAAAGCUUGAGUUCGGGAGAGGUGAGUGGAACUGCGAGUGUAGAGGUGAAAUUCGUAGAUAUUCGCAAGAACACCAGUGGCGAAGGCGGCUCACUGGCCCGAUACUGACGCUGAGGUGCGAAAGCGUGGGGAGCAAACAGG